CGCUAGCUACAGGCUUAACACAUGCAAGUCGAGGGGAAACGACAUCGAAAGCUUGCUUUUGAUGGGCGUCGACCGGCGCACGGGUGAGUAACGCGUAUCCAACCUGCCCACCACUUGGGGAUAACCUUGCGAAAGUAAGACUAAUACCCAAUGACGUCUCUAGAAGACAUCUGAAAGGGAUUAAAGAUUUAUCGGUGAUGGAUGGGGAUGCGUCUGAUUAGCUUGUUGGCGGGGUAACGGCCCACCAAGGCGACGAUCAGUAGGGGUUCUGAGAGGAAGGUCCCCCACAUUGGAACUGAGACACGGUCCAAACUCCUACGGGAGGCAGCAGUGAGGAAUAUUGGUCAAUGGACGAGAGUCUGAACCAGCCAAGUAGCGUGCAGGAAGACGGCCCUAUGGGUUGUAAACUGCUUUUAUAAGGGAAUAAAGUGAGUCUCGUGAGACUUUUUGCAUGUACCUUAUGAAUAAGGACCGGCUAAUUCCGUGCCAGCAGCCGCGGUAAUACGGAAGGUCCGGGCGUUAUCCGGAUUUAUUGGGUUUAAAGGGAGCGUAGGCCGGAGAUUAAGCGUGUUGUGAAAUGUAGACGCUCAACGUCUGCACUGCAGCGCGAACUGGUUUCCUUGAGUACGCACAAAGUGGGCGGAAUUCGUGGUGUAGCGGUGAAAUGCUUAGAUAUCACGAAGAACUCCGAUUGCGAAGGCAGCUCACUGGAGCGCAACUGACGCUGAAGCUCGAAAGUGCGGGUAUCGAACAGGAUUAGAUACCCUGGUAGUCCGCACGGUAAACGAUGGAUGCCCGCUGUUGGUCUGAAUAGGUCAGCGGCCAAGCGAAAGCAUUAAGCAUCCCACCUGGGGAGUACGCCGGCAACGGUGAAACUCAAAGGAAUUGACGG
rnacentral:rRNA from 1 species